ACUGGAGAUCCCUGUGUACCUGAGGCUUUCUGAAGCCUGCACCUGUCUCUCCUUCCACAGCUGAGGACAUGCUGGAAAUCUAUUUCCCUAUAGACCUGAUCGGGUAAAAGCUUCAGGGGAAUGGAGCCUCUGUGAUAGCCACUGCAGCAUUUCCUUCGCUGAAGAGGUGAUAGUGGACCUGACCUUUCAGCUCUGAUUUUUGGCACCAUCAGGUGGUCAAAAGCUUUGACCUUUGCACUGACAGCACAGUAGACCUCAUUGCUCUCUGUAUCCUGGGAAAGGAUUCUGUGAGCUGGAGAACAAUUUCUGUCAUUUCCUGAUUUGUGUUUUGUAGAAACCAGCACAUGCCACUUAUUCACUAUUCUCAUCGCAGGUUUUGUUUGCUUUUGUGCAUUCCAAAGCAGUCCUUAGACUUCGCUGCAGUCCACCAGGAAUCACAUCAUCUCCACUGUCUUGGCCCACCUGCACCACUGCCAGCAUAAAAUGGGGUGGAAUUAACCUUCAACUCAUCCUUCUUGAGUUGAGUUGCACCACUGUUCCUGGAAGAAGUCAGCAGAAGAGAAGGUGAAUACAUGUGGGAAAGCAGGUUCAGCCUUCCUCCACUGAAAUGUCUGAAGCAUGCAAUUCAAAGGAAGAGCAGUUUACUGCCAAACAAGUACAAGGCUAUUGCAUGAACAUCAUCUUCAGCCUUUGCUCUUUUGAGAUUUAAUGUAAAAGCCACCAACAUCAGUUGAGAGCAACACUUUCAGACUUUCCAAAGCCUUUGCACCCAUCCUGUUUUAAUACCCUCUGCCAGAAGGACAAGAAGUACUACCCUACUUCAGAGAUGACAGAUAAGCAGAGUGCUUAAUGAAGCAGAACAAUAAUGUUAGUCUUCAUCAGCCAUGGAAAAUAACAAAGCUCACAAAGCUGGUCUCCAGGCGACCCAGCUCUCACAGAAGCAAUGGCUCCAUACUACCUUUGCACCAACUGGGAACAAACCUUCAGCACCAGCAGGGCUGAAGAGCACAGAUUCCAGUCGCUCAUCCAGUUGCUCUCGGACUCAUUAAUGUGAGUGGGAAACACAGUGAACUUGAUUGAAUAUAAAACCAAGAGUGAGAGCAGAAAGCAGAGGGUUGACUCAGCCAUACUAGAGUUGGAAAAGUCUGGUCUGGUUCUCUGCAUCAUGGACAUGGACAUGGAAGUGGAGUCUCUAGAGAAGUAACAUCUGCAUGGUGCUAUGUUCUACUGCUUUUCACCUUCCUAGGCUCAGCAGGUCCCUGCCUCAAGGGUCUACCCACUGCACUGCACUACAUCCUGCACGUACUGAGCCCUGCAGCCAUCCUAUCCAGCAGCAUGCAUGUAACUGGUUGAGCCUUGAAGCAGAGGAAUCUCUUUGGUAUUGGACUUCAAGGCUAUACCGCAGAGGCUGGAGUGUGCUACUCAUUGAGACUUCAAUACUACACUAUUUGGUCAAGCCAAAUUUCAAGAGCCUGAAAACCAAGAUCCUAGGCUUUCCUUGGCAAGAAAAGAAGCUAAUGCGUCCACCAUGUAUAAAAAUUGGCUGUGAAGAAUUUACCAGUGUCCUCCCACUGGGGAGAAAUUUCAAUAUUUGCAGUACAGCAGUUGAUGUCAUCACACCAUUCAGAAGGUAACUGAAACUGGUGCAGAGCUUUUCCUUAUUAAGACUGAUCUACCAUUACUAGAGCAUAAAGAUGGCUGAAACCUGUGGCCGAAGGAUUCCCACUCGUUUGCAGCCAGGGAUGUAGACCCCUUCCUGGGCACCCAGCGUGCCACAUCUCACAGGCUGCCUAUGUGUAUGCAGGCAGCAGAGCAAUCACUGGGAAAAGCUCUGUUUCCCACCUUCUCCAAGAAAUUGGUUAAACAGGGAUUUUAUCCCCAGUGCGCAAAGUACUUUGCAGAAGUCCAAUAAAGGCACCUCAUCAC